AUUUCCGUAGGGUGAACCUGCGGAGGGAUCAUUACACAACAAAAUAUGAAGGCCUGGCUUUCGCGGCCGGCUGAAGUAUUUUUUUCACCCAUGUCUUUUGCGCACUUGUUGUUUCCUGGGCGGGUUCGCCCGCCACCAGGACCAAACCAUAAACCUUUUUUUCUUAUGCAGUUUCCAUCAGCGUCAGUAAAAACAAUGUAAUUAUUACAACUUUCAACAACGGAUCUCUUGGUUCUGGCAUCGAUGAAGAACGCAGCGAAAUGCGAUACGUAGUGUGAAUUGCAGAAUUCAGUGAAUCAUCGAAUCUUUGAACGCACAUUGCGCCCUUUGGUAUUCCAAAGGGCAUGCCUGUUCGAGCGUCAUUUGUACCUUCAAGCUUUGCUUGGUGUUGGGCGUUUUUUUGUCUCCCUCUUUCUGGGAGACUCGCCUUAAAACGAUUGGCAGCCGGCCUACUGGUUUCGGAGCGCAGCACAUUUUUUGCGCUUUGUAUCAGGAGAAAAGGACGGUACUCCAUCAAGACUCUACAUUUUUCACUUUUGACCUCGGAUCAGGUAGGGAUACCCGCUGAACUUAAGCAUAUCAAUAAGCGGAGGAA
rnacentral:rRNA from 1 species